rnacentral:rRNA from 1 species
CCUUCGGGCGACGCGGAGGACAUUA